CCUGAGGUUGGCAGAGGCCAGACUCUAAAAUUAGGAAGCUCAGUGAAGGAGGUCAUCAGAGGCUUUAGCACCUAUAGCUACUACCUGAAGGCUGUACUAAUUCUUCCCAUCCAUUCCAUUCACAGAAUCUAAGAGUAGUAGGACCCUUACAGGACCCAACAUCCCACUUGAUGCAUUUUCCCAUCAUGCUUUCAAGAGUUCCGCCUCUUACUGAAAGGAUGGAGACAAGAUUAUUGGAAAAAUAUUUUCCAGGGGAGAAUUUAGCUUCAGAUGUGCCCUACUCUAAUGUGAAAAGAAAGCCACAAUUUCCCAUGUUGGGUGUGUUUAAAGGUAGGUACAUCUUUGCUGCAUUUGCAGACUUUGACAAUGACUACCUCAAGUUGACACCACCUAAUUAGAUGCAGGAAGUAGAAUCAGCUGGGAAAAUAGUAAAUUUAUUCUCUGCCCAACAAUCAGAAAGCUGUACCCGUUCUGUAAAC
rnacentral:lncRNA from 1 species